GACGAACGCUGGCGGCGUGCCUAAUACAUGCAAGUCGAGCGAAGCGGCGGAUUGGUGAGUAACGCGUGGGUAACCUUCCCUUAAGUCUGAGAUACCAUUUGGAACCAGCUGCUAAUACCGAAUACUACAGGAUGGACCUGCGAUUCAUUAGCCAGGUGGUAAGGUAACGGCUUACCAAGGCGAUGAUGCAUAGCCGAGUUGAGAGACUGAUCGGCCACACGGGGACUGAGACACGGCCCAAACUCCUACGGGAGGCAGCAGUAGGGAAUCUUCCACAAUGGACGAAAGUCUGAUGGAGCAACGCCGCGUGAGUGAAGAAGGUUUUCGGAUCGUAAAGCUCUGUUGUUGGUGAAGCGGUAAUCAACCAGAAAGUCACGGCUAACUACGUGCCAGCCGCCGCGGUAAUUC
rnacentral:rRNA from 1 species